CUCAUUUCUUGCCGUAGAAGAGGACCCUUCUUCUUCUUUGGCAUGUGGAAUAUAGAACACCCAACCCUUGGUUGUGGGAAAGAGAAGAGGGAGAGAGGGGGUGGUGUGGAGAAGGAGAGAGGAGAGUUUUUAUUUCAUAAAAUUCUAUUAUUUCAAAUCCUAAGAGACUAUCUCUUUAAAUAGAUCCUUCCUUGAUCCAAAUCAGGAACCAAUUAACUUAAAAAGGUAUGUCCUUAUCUCAUAAGGAUUUAUACCUUUUUAAUCUAAUUUAAAUUAAAAUUAAACUU
rnacentral:lncRNA from 1 species